GGGCGGCGCUGUUUCCCCGCUGUUUGGAGCCAACAUACCCGGAUGUUACGCGGAAGUCGCAUGUGUACAAUAACAACAGUAGCAGCGGUGGAGGAAUAUUUCUUUUUAUACUUAACUAGCAGAUAAUUCACUACUUUUUGGGAUUUCUGUGUGAAAAUGUCGAUAGAUGUUGUUGUUAGAUGUCAACACUGUCUGCCGAGGGAGACGAUACCCGGAGAAAAACUCCUGGAGAAGCUCUUGCCCUCUGGCUACAGCCAUCUCCUGUGUGUGAACGAGCCCAGCCAGAAGGACGACGACUUCCGGGCUCAUUUAAAAGUGAGGCUCUCCACGGAGGAGCAGGUUGAGAAAUGGCUGCAGGACCUUCAGCUCUCCUCCAGUUUAACAUGGAGGAAGGCCAAAACAUAUCCGCAGUCAGGGCGCUACAAUGCUUAUAGAGUAAGUGCAACAGGUUUACAUUACAGAGUUCUGCAGGGACGUGUGAUGUAGGCCGACCCUGAAGGCAGCAUUGCGCUGGUUCCCUCUGCAGAGAGUCAGUGGGAUUUCUGCAGAAAAUAAAUAACUUACACGUUUAGUUCGGGAAGAUCAUCUUCACUAAUGAAGCGUAAAUGCAGAAGUAAACAUUAGACUAAACUAACGCUUCACAUCAACGUCACCAAGCUCCCAACUUCUCAUUUAGUUCUUUUCUUCUACAAAAGCCUUUCCUCUUCGCCUGACAUCUACAGUUCAUCUACAAGUUAGAAUAGUUUGCAAGAGUUCGAGAAUAAACAAAGUUUGGACUUCUGUUCGUCGUGAUGACGUUUAAAGAUGAAACGUGUAAGAUCUGCCAGAAUUAAACUUAAACAUUAAAACAAUUCUCUAACAUUAUGAACAGAGUGUGAAGAGGUCAAGGUCAGUGUUGGGCUAAAGAGACGUCUCCUGGAGUUAGCAUGUUAACAGCUAACUGCUGCGUCCAGGCUGUAGUACCACAUGUUCCUCUAGAGGUGACAGUGAGUCAGUGCAGUCUGCUCAGAGAGAAGAAGAAGAACAGCUUCAUGGUCUGUGCAUGUUUUCUAGUUUGUUUAUUGGAUUUAGUCCAAUAUACAAACUCUAACAACAUCCGUGCAGCUCACAGCGUUGGUGUAAAAAAUGUCAAACCGGUUUGAUAUGAAGCCAAACACGACUGGUGAACCAAAUUCUACCACAAAGUGUUGCAGCGACUCGUUUCCUGCAGUGUUGACAUGUUGUCUCGUGUGAUGAUCCAAGAUGGCGGCGCACAGACGCAGCAACAUGCGGCUGUAGUUUUAUUCAUCUUAGAGACUAACUGACACGUGAACUAUUUUAGUAAAGGAACAUCGUCCCACCUCGACUGAAGAUGAUCUGUUUAUAAACAAACACUAUUAUUUUAAUCAAGUUGUCGUUUUCCUUCUUAUCGAUACAAAACAGGUUGUUUCUUUUAAGUUACCAGAACGUGUCACAUUUACUGACGGGGUGGAAUGACCCAACACAAAGACAUCUAGAGAACAUUGUACUAUAUGGAUUGCAUAAAUAGACGGUCCCUUGUAUUAGCGCAUGCGCGACCGGAACCAGAUUUAAUAGUAAACACGUCUGUGUUUCAACCUGUAUAAUACUUGUUUAGUUAUUGUCAUUUCACGCUGAUGUUAUUUAUAAUAAAAGCGAUCGAACAAAUGGAACUCUGUUCUUAUUUAUAACCAAACAACUAAACAACAUGACGCAGUCAAGCGGAGAUCGUCAGGGCUGAGGAGGAUCAUACGACUA
rnacentral:lncRNA from 1 species